CGACAUCAUCCAGUAGGCGGUGCUCUCCUUCUGCACUGUGUUCAACCAUUGUGUCAAUAAUAAGUGCUGCUGUGAAGAGAACAAUUCUCAGACUGAAUGUUGAACAUCAGCUAGUUUCUCCUGUUGAUUGAAACCUUGUUGUACAGAUGGAACAUUGGCUGUGGAUUAUUCUUGCUGCUCUUUUCUUUGAGUGUAACGGAGAAGACAAAGUGAUCCAGGAACAAGGAGAUGUCAUUGCUGCUGAAGGAGACACAGUUACACUUGGAUGUAGAUAUGAAACCAGUGACCCAGGCCCGACUUUAUUCUGGUACAAACAGGAUGGAAACAACAGCCCCAAAUUAAUCCUGAGUCGUGUUAGCAGGAAUGAUGGAAACACAGCAGAUGAGUUCAAGGAGAGAUUUUCAUCCACACUGGAUUCCAGCAUCAGAUCAGUUCCUCUGAAGAUCCAGAAGCUUCAGCUGUCUGACUCUGCUGUGUACUACUGUGCUCUGCAGCCCACAGUGACAGGAAACACCAAAACUCUGUACAAAAACCUUUGGAGCAAAGACAACAGAAUACUCCACAACAUCCACUAGAGGGAGCCACACACUGUUACACCUCUGAUUCUUGUGUCAUUGGACUGAUGACAAAUCUUCAAUCUUUAUCUCCAACAGAAAUCAAACUGAUCAAUAACAACAUGAUAAAUGAUUGAUCACUGAUCCCACAGAGGUGGUUGUAGGUAAAGUACAAACAUCCAGGACUUGUUUCAUCGACUUCUUUACUCAAAAGUGAAAAAGUGCAGAGUUAACUGAACCUUGUGCUACAUUAAUGUAAAUGAAUGAUAUCAGCACACAGGAACACAAACUUUAUUUCAGUGUAAAUCUGAAUUAUAAUAAAAUCACUUUCUUAGAUUGAAUCAGUGAAGUGGAACAUGAGCAGAGAAAAAGGGGGAAAAUAAAGACAUUUCUAUUUUCUGUUGGCUCCAUUAGAGAGUGACUGUGCCUCUAACAGGAACAUGAGCAGAGAACAGGGUGAAGUGGAUUCAGCAGGUGGGAACCCUAAAAUCAGCUGUAGUGGCUCAGUGUGGGCAAAAGAAUGACAGCUCACAAUCAUUUCUGCUGAGAGCUCCAGUAGAUUUGAUUCAAGUACAGGCUGUGAUCAGCUGAUCUGAGCUUCACUGCUCUUUGUAAUGUGAAUUCAACCAGAUGUGAGCAGCUGUUUGCGAGGAUGCUGUCCGUGUGCUCCAGCUUCCUCCCACAGUCCAAAGACAUGCGCUUACUGGGGUUG